AUAGUUGCGCGGAGGAAAUGGGAAAGUUGGUGCUCUGCAUUUUAUAACGGAACACGUUAAUUUCCCUUCAACUGCAAUCUGUAAUGUGAUUUCGAUUUUAUUUUAUUUGUUGCAAGUGCAGAUUUUGUGUUGUCAGCUAGGUGAAAUUGCUGUUUAUUGUUACCGGAUGAGCUGCGUCCGGGGGAGGAAAUAACGACGCUGUGUAACGGACAUGUAACGAACACUGAUUAAACAAUGCCACAAAAUAUGGGGAAUUUCAUAUUCGGAUGUCCACUUAGUUGGUAAAGUUACGGAUUUGUUGGAAAAACUUAUGCAACCAAUUAAACACGCGGAUCCAUGAACACGUCUACAUUUGAGCAGAUAAGAAGUCAUUGUAUUUAGUUGUCUUUGAACUCCUUAACAACAAAUGUAGUUUGUGUAAAUAACAGCAAAUAACAACAAUGUUUGAAAAAGCGUAAAGUGGAACAAUCUGAAGAAAUUCGUGAAGCUGCUGAAGUUGAUGUCCUGAACUUAUUGACAUCUGUGUAUAUUUCAACUCUUCGUCGGGUGAAACGAUUUUGGGCAUAGUUGGCGCACGCUGGGUAUAUGAACUUGUAAACUGGAAAGUUAAUGAUACCGAAGACAUGGGAACGUCGUUAGUUGUCAGUAUUUCCAACAUAAAGAAUAAAAUCCCAAGAUCAUUUGUUGUUAUCAUUACUUAACGAAGACAAUGUAAUUUUUUCUUGGGGAUGUGUUAGAGAGGAGAAUAACAACACUAAAAGUGAAGAUAACAAGCUGUGUUAUAGAAAAUAAAUGUUCCCAUUAAUUUUGAAUUUUCUCUAUACAGUGGAUAUGAUUGUGUUAGUAUAAAUCCAAAAAUAACAUUAUUUUGCUUAAGUGUGCAUCUUGAAUGUGAAUCCUUGACCACUAGAGGCUGAGACGAGAAUUAAUGGUUGUUAACAGGUGUUUAGGCGAUUCGAAAUGAAGAGAAAUCCGUGCCAAUAAUUUUGU